GGAGAGUUGGCAGAGUGGUUGAAUGCGGCGGUCUUGAAAACCGUUAUAGGCGCAAGCCUAUCCGGGGUUCGAAUCCCUGACUCUCCG
rnacentral:tRNA from 1 species